rnacentral:rRNA from 1 species
AUUGAACGCUGGCGGCAUGCCUUACACAUGCAAGUCGAACGGCAGCACGGGAGCAAUCCUGGUGGCGAGUGGCGAACGGGUGAGUAAUAUAUCGGAACGUGCCCAGUCGUGGGGAUAACGCAGCGAAAGCUGUGCUAAUACCGCAUACGAUCUACGGAUGAAAGCGGGGGAUCGCAAGACCUCGCGCGAUUGGAGCGGCCGAUAUCAGAUUAGGUAGUUGGUGAGGUAAAGGCUCACCAAGCCGACGAUCUGUAGCUGGUCUGAGAGGACGACCAGCCACACUGGGACUGAGACAGGCCCAGACUCCUACGGGAGGCAGCAGUGGGGAAUUUUUGGACAAUGGNGCAAGCCUGAUCCAGCAAUGCCGCGUGCAGGAUGAAGG